rnacentral:rRNA from 1 species
UGGGGAAUUUUGGACAAUGGGCGAAAGCCUGAUCCAGCAAUGCCGCGUGUGUGAAGAAGGCCUUCGGGUUGUAAAGCACUUUUGUCCGGAAAGAAAUCCUUGGCUCUAAUACAGUCGGGGGAUGACGGUACCGGAAGAAUAAGCACCGGCUAACUACGUGCCAGCAGCCGCGGUAAUACGUAGGGUGCAAGCGUUAAUCGGAAUUACUGGGCGUAAAGCGUGCGCAGGCGGUUUGCUAAGACCGAUGUGAAGUCCCCGGGCUCAACCUGGGAACUGCAUUGGUGACUGGCAGGCUAGAGUAUGGCAGAGGGGGGUAGAAUUCCACGUGUAGCAGUGAAAUGCGUAGAGAUGUGGAGGAAUACCGAUGGCGAAGGCAGCCCCCUGGGCCAAUACUGACGCUCAUGCACGAAAAGCGUGGGGAGCAAACAGGAUUAGAUACCCUGGUAGUCCACGCCCUAAACGAUGUCAACUAGUUGUUGGGGAUUCAUUUCCUUAGUAACGUGCAUACAGCGUGAAGUUGACCGCCUGGGGAGUACGGUCGCAAGAUUAAAACUCAAAGGAAUUGAC